UGUUCAUCUGCUGUGAGCUGUGGAAGGAGGAGGAAGAGGUGGGGAAGGCACAUCCAUUUCUUAACUGCUGGUGCCUGAAAAUGAUUCAUAUCACUUCCUGUCAUUGGUAAGAAUGAGUCACAUGACCUCACCUAGAAGGAAGGCUGGGAAAUGUAGUUCUGGCUGGUGGCUGCUUUCCACUAACAGCCUAUACUACAGAAGUGAGAGUAUGACUCUUUGGUGGACCUUAGUCCUCUGCUACAUACUUGAGCCAUGAGAAGACGGCUGGGACACAAGAGGAAGAAAAGCAGUUGGAAGAACUUAGUCAUCGCCAAAACUUCACCACAGCUGCAGAAUCUCGUACAUCAUCUUCAUUGACUGCAGCACCUCCCCUGGAGAGGAAGAAGUGUGGAGGCUGGAGCCACUGAGAAAGUCCUGGAAGCUUCUAGAAGAACUGAACACAGUCUCUGAAGGGCGAGUACAUUUGGACAGCGAUUUUAACCAUUGCUGGUCAUCAAAAAGAUGUGAAGUAGUUAAGAACUGGAGAAAACAUGCUACACAAUUUUAGACGUUCUCAAAUGAAGUCAUUUGCAAUCAUAGGAAACCAUAUGUAGUAAGCAAUUACAGAUAUCAGCCACAUUGGCAGGAUUUUCCCCAAGUCAGAACCCAAAGCCUCAAGUCUUCCUCUCUUCCUACCAUGCUGGUCCAAGACUGAAUUCCAUCAUCUCCGCGCAAAAGUCUCCAUCAGCUUUUUAACUGGUCCCUGUGUCUACUCUUCCCCUUCCAGAGUCUCAG